CCCCCACAUCAUCCAGCCAUCGAACAAUCUCGAACAAUCUGCUGGCCGCUGCCGGCGCCGUCCAACCCGAAUGCCUCCUCUCAACCCCACAUGCGACCACCACCAAGACCCCUCCUCCUCGCUGUCUCCUCCACCACCUUCCCCAUCUCCCCGAGGGAGACCCCGACGCAGACCUCGACAAGUACGCCGCCGACCCCUCCGACGCAGACCUCCGCAAGUACGGGCGCUGUCCGUGCCCGGUGCCCCAACGCCUCUUCUGCCUCCUCCCUUUCCUGCUUCAGCACCCCCAUCGCCCAGCACCACAACCUCCCUUCCCCCGUCUCCUGCGUCGCUGAACUCCGCAAGUACGCCGCGGCUCCGCGCUGCUCACCCACGGCUGCUCUGAUGUGAUGCUCGGCUACUGCCUAUCCUUGCCAAACCUUUUUGACUGGAAUCCUUGCCAAACCUCAUCGUGCCCACCUGUCCGCAUCCCAACUUCAAAUUUUAUAUCACCCAAAUCCGUGCGCCUAUCGUGAAUUGUCUGGAAAGCACUCUGCUGUCCGAAUAUAGAUCAAGUGGGCAGGCCGAUGGAACUCAUGCUGCUUGAAGCCUCGAAGUACACCCCAGAAGACACACACAAGUCACUCUCACAUCAUCAGAUCGAACGGAGUGUGAUGAGGUCGAAUUCACUGCCCUUUGCUGCUGAUCUGCUUCGUCAAGGAUAAGGCAUGGGCGUUGAUGGUGGUAACAGAUGGAACUAUCUACUGUGUUCAAGUAGGUAUGCCAUAGCUACUUAAAAGUGAGAGCACUCUGCUGGAUGGAAGCACCACUCCUUGCCCGAAGAUAAGUGACUUUGGUUAUUUUAAGGUAUUCAUCCUAUUAAUCUGGUUGGGUGGUACCUGAUUGCGUGCUUAUGUGUUGGAUGUUCUUAUAUAGCAUUGCUAGAAUCUAGACAACAAAAAUGAACCAUAUUACUGCAGUUUCUUAUAAUAAUCAGAAGUUGUAAUGGAUACUAAAUUUUCAACCGAUUUGCAAUCCUUUUUUUUCUAUUAUACAGACAUUAGUUCAUCAUUCUCAACCAAAAUCAACUGUUGGAACUACGACAUAUAUGGCUCCUGAAGUUCUGUUGAAGAAAGAAUAUGAUGGCAAGCUAUGAUCCAUCCUCUUUGUGCUUUAAAAUGUCUCCUGCAUACUCUGCCAUCUGGUGUUGUAUCGAUAUGUGAAAAUGUGUUGUGUGUGCAAAAAACAGUUUGUUAGCUUGGACUAUUCACUUUUUGGUGUGCUUUCUAAUUAGAAGUUGAAACAACAAUUCAAUUAUGCAUGUUAUUGGAAUGUUAUGUUGGAAAUCCAUUCAGGAACACUUUUUGGAGCCUUUUAGAACAUUGGAACGGGCUCAAACUGUAGGAAUUUUUGAUGAAUUAUACUGUGUGCGCGCGUGCUGCUGGCACGGGACCUCAUUGUCCGUGAUUUGUAAAAGCUGGCAUUCCUAGGUCAUAUGUUUAUCCUUUUUUAAUUUGUAAUCUUCAUCUAUAUUCAGAAUUGGUUACGUAUUAAUCAUCUGUUGUGAAGCAAGAAUUCUUACUAAUUCACACAGAGUAGUCUCUCAGAUCAGAUAUCUAUGAUUUGUGGAAUGGGAGACCACGUGCACAGGGAGGCAGCACAAGGUGGAGAGGAAGCGCCGUUGAAGUAGAGCCCGUUUGGAGCAGAGCUAAAGGUUUUCUGGCGAAGAACUGCCUACUUCGUUGCUCUGUGGGAAAAGCUAUCCUCAGAUCAUGUCAGGGAACGCCUAUGGUGCAAAAGCUGGAACACCUGACAAGCGCUCCUCCUCCGUUGAUGUGGCCGGACCCUGGUUGAGCUUUUAGUCCUGGAGUUAGCCUGAUUCACUUGAUAUAUCUCAUGUCAGUGGGGGCAGUUUCCUCCCCUGAUAACGACUGCGGCUAUUUUAUCGUUUGCUCACUCAGUAGUUCUGUUCUUUAUUGAUUAUGGCUUGUAACCUGAGUGGAGCUAGAUGUUCUUUUCUUUUGUGUUUUAGACUUGUUUUCAGUCUUUGGUCUGUGUCUCGGGAGUCUGUACCUAACUUUGGCUUCUUUGCCUGCAAUGGAGCCGGGGCUUUUAGCCCUUUUUCUCUAAAAAAAAAGAAAUACCUCAUGCUUUUUAUAGUACA